rnacentral:rRNA from 1 species
CAUCGAAAAUCUAAGGUUUCCUGAGGAAGGGUCGUCCGCUCAGGGUAAGUCGGGACCUAAGGAGAGGCGUAAAGCGUAUCCGAUGGACAAUCGGUUGAAAUUCCGAUACCGCCGAAUAUCGAUUGAAGGAAGCAGUGACACAGGAGGAUAGGAAGAGCACGGAGUUGGUAUACCGUGUCCAAGCAUCGAGGCUGGUCAGUAGGAAAGACCGCUGACCGAUAAGGCUGAGGUGUGAUGGGGAGCGAAAUUAGAGUAGCGAAGAAUCCGAUUUCACACUGUCAAGAAAAGCUGCUAACGAGAUAUCAGGUGCCCGUACCGCAAACCGACACAGGUAGAUGAGGAGAGAAUCCUAAGAUGAGCGAGAGAAGCGUUGUUAAGGAACUCGGCAAAAUAACCCCGUAACUUCGGGAGAAGGGGUGCCAGGGAAACCUGGCCGCAGAGAAAUGGCCCAAGCGACUGUUUAGCAAAAACACAGGUCUCUGCUAAAUCGAAAGAUGACGUAUAGGGGCUGACGCCUGCCCGGUGCUGGAAGGUUAAGGGGAAAGCUUAGCGCAAGCGAAGGUUUGAACUUAAGCCCCAGUAAACGGCGGCCGUAACGAUAACGGUCCUAAGGUAGCGAAAUUCCUUGUCAGGUAAGUUCUGACCCGCACGAAUGGCGUAACGACUUGGGCACUGUCUCAACAACGCGCUCGGCGAAAUUGUAGCACUAGUGAAGAUGCUAGUUACCCGCGAUUGGACGGAAAGACCCCGUAGAGCUUCACUGCAGCUUGACAUUGGGUUUUGGUAUUUCAUGUACAGGAUAGGUGGGAGACAGAGAAGCAGUAACGCCAGUUACUGUGGAGUCGACGUUGGGAUACCACUCUUGAGAUACCGGAAUUCUAACCAGUGGCCAUGGAACUGGUCAUGGGACAUAGUCAGGUGGGCAGUUUGACUGGGGCGGUCGCCUCCCAAAGAGUAACGGAGGCGUCCAAAGGUUCCCUCAGAAUGGUUGGAAAUCAUUCGGAGAGUGCAAAGGCAGAAGGGAGCCUGACUGCGAGAGAGACAACUCGAGCAGGUACGAAAGUAGGGCUUAGUGAUCCGGUGGUACCGAGUGGAAGGGCCAUCGCUCAACGGAUAAAAGCUACCUCGGGGAUAACAGGCUUAUCUCCCCCAAGAGUCCACAUCGACGGGGAGGUUUGGCACCUCGAUGUCGGCUCGUCGCAUCCUGGGGCUGAUGUAGGUCCCAAGGGUUGGGCUGUUCGCCCAUUAAAGCGGCACGCGAGCUGGGUUCAGAACGUCGUGAGACAGUUCGGUCCCUAUCCGUCGCGGGCGUAGGAAAUUUGAGGAGAUCUGUCCUUAGUACGAGAGGACCGGGAUGGACGAACCACUGGUGUAUCAGUUGUCCUGCCAAGGGCAUGGCUGAGUAGCCAAGUUCGGAACGGAUAAGCGCUGAAGGCAUCUAAGCGCGAAACCGACUCCAAGAUAAGAUCUCCCACAGCGUAGGCUGGUAAGACCCCAUGUAGACUACAUGGUAGAUAGGUCGGAGGUGUAAGCACAGCAAUGUGUUCAGCUGACCGAUACUAAUAGGUCGAGGGCUUGAUCG